AAUGAACGCUGGCGGCAUGCCUAACACAUGCAAGUCGAACGAAGGCUUCGGCCUUAGUGGCGCACGGGUGCGUAACGCGUGGGAAUCUGCCCCUUGGUUCGGAAUAACAGUUAGAAAUGACUGCUAAUACCGGAUGAUGACGUAAGUCCAAAGAUUUAUCGCCGAGGGAUGAGCCCGCGUAGGAUUAGCUAGUUGGUGUGGUAAGAGCGCACCAAGGCGACGAUCCUUAGCUGGUCUGAGAGGAUGAUCAGCCACACUGGGACUGAGACACGGCCCAGACUCCUACGGGAGGCAGCAGUGGGGAAUAUUAGACAAUGGGCGAAAGCCUGGUCCAGCAAUGCCGCGUGAGUGAUGAAGGCCUUAGGGUUGUAAAGCUCUUUUACCCGGGAUGAUAAUGACAGUACCGGGAGAAUAAGCUCCGGCUAACUCCGUG
rnacentral:rRNA from 1 species